ensembl:lncRNA
GGUGCUCGACUCUGCACCAGCUGAUGUAGCGCUGGCAGCUGCUGCUGCUCCAGCUGAGAUCCUCAAAACCCCUCGCUGUGCUUUCCUCCUUAGGGCACUGUGCAGCGGGGAACUCAAGAUGAAGCACAUUCUUCAAAAAGAUCUAUACUCUGGCCCCAUCAAUAUCCACUUUUAUACUGAUGCUUUUAAGAAACUGCCAGUCAGGAAUAACAAGAUUCUCUGAUCCAGGCUCAGCUUCGAGGAAAGAGAGGAAAAAGAAGCAGCACUGGUCACACCUGAAGGUAUCUUCACACAACUGAAUUAUGCAUACUUUUCUCAUUAUUUUUAAGCAAUGAACUUGAGUUCUUUGUUUAUCAUCUCCCUCUCAGCUUGAAUUUGCUGCCUCAUAUGGUUCUGCUCA